GCACCAGUGGUGUACGGCACACACAAUCCACUGCUGAGUUGGCAGUUUGGGCACGUAAGCAAGAUUGAGUCCGGGGUUCGACUCCCCGCUGGUGCA